UCAAAAGACCACAUGAUAUAUGCUGGUCAAAUGUAUGUGGACAGAAUUGGCUUGCAGGAACUGUUUGGGAAUGGAAUAGGAGUUUCUUUUUAAGCAUAAAAAAUUUUUGUAAUUUUGUGAUAGACUCACAGUUCUAAUUAUACUGAGAACCAUUUUUUUUUCCUUCUCCUUGGUGGUGCUGGGACUCAGCCACACACGUGCUGCACCCAUUUCCUUCUGCCUUCCUGAAACGCAGAAUUGUGUGUGUUUCUCAUGACUAUGCGUAUCACCUGAUGGCCACUUCCUGUCUUUUGAGUGCAUUAACUACUAAUAGUUAAUUCCCAGGCCUGGUGCAUGGUAGAGAGGAGCAAAUAGUGCGGGAAUAGAUUUCCAAAUGAUGGAUUUUCAUUUGAAAUUACUCACAAUUGUGAAUCAAUUGGAUUUAUCCCUAUGAAUCCAGUAGGACUCAAGAUUUGCAGGAUGAUAUAUUCAGACAGCAAGAAAUCGACAUCAACCAGGAGUCCACGUAAUAAUGGUCUGUUGUUGAGGAGCGUGUAUGAGGCUUUUGUUCUUUCUAAAGCUUUUAACAGCUUUUUACACAUUGAACGGUUGUCUCGGAAUGUGGUGGCAUCUGUUUUUUGGCUUUUGUUUGUUUUUUUUUUUUGUAGACAAUACCUGAAAUUCCACCAAAGCCUGGAGAACUCAGAACGGAGCUUUUGGGACUGAGGGAGAGACACCGUGAAUCUCAGGUCUCACAGCAGUAGAAACCUCAAAAUACAGCUGUGCAAAGAACUCUGUGAAUGAUGCUUUAAAUAUGUAUUUUAAAAUUUAUUAAGUAAAACAACUUUUUUUUUUUU
rnacentral:lncRNA from 1 species